UGGGUCUGAGGUCCCAGCAGGCUUACGUCCUGGUCUGCCUUGGAUCAGGGCACUUCUGUGCGGGUCCGGAUUUCCCACAGUCCUCCUGGUCUAGAUCAAGGGUUCUUAGCCAGGACCCACAGUGCUGAAUGGGUUUCAGGAGCUCCGUGAAGUAGCAUGGGGAAAAAUGACAUCUUUGUUUUCACUACCUUCUAACUGAAAGUUAGCAUUUCCUCCAAUUGUUUAAAAUCGUGCUUCUGAGAAAGGGCCCGUGGACUUCCCCAGAUCGACUGCCAAGGGUAUCUAAGAUGCAAAAAAAAAAAAGUAACUACCUGCUCUAAAAAUCUCUGAAAUCUUUGCUUUUCCUUUGGUAUAGGAGGGAAAGCUCUAUCUUGCACUUGGGGUGUAUCCCGGGUCAUCACUUCUUCGGGAGAUCCUGGAUCCCGUUUCCAGCUGCCUCAGUUUACCUACCUGAAAAAUAAGCUAUGGAAGCGUCCUCCAGGAAAAAACACCACUUCUUGACCCCUUGCGAUCUGAUUCCUCUCCCCAUCACUGAAGUGAAACAGCUCUCUCGGAGGCCACCAGCAAUCUCCACCGCUAAAUCCAAUGGCCCUGCGUCCUAUACAUUAUUGGUGGAGCUGUGAACUAGUCCGGCCUCCAUGGAAAGCAACUAGGUCCCCAAAGACACCAAGUGACCCAUAAUGCUACCGUUAAAUCAAAGGAAGAGAAGGUCCCCGGAUGGUCAGGAAUACCUGCAGCAACAUUCUGUGGAUCAGCAAAAUCCCAGGCACUUAGGGAUGCCCAUCGGUUGGGAAAGAUCCCAGCAAACAAGGGAUAGCAACGGCCCGGACCAUGGCCGGGCUGUGAGAAAUGAUGAGGAGAGUCAGAGGAUCCUGGGGAGAGUUGCAUGACGUAAUGCAGAGGGGAGGCGCAGAAUCAGGAGAUCAGCUAAUUCUCACGUAACAAUAUCAUCCAGACGAACAACUCGGAAAGUGUCUCGGAAGAAUUCCGAUGCGUUCAGUGACCAACCAGGAAGGAAGGACCGAGGACGAAGCACCUCCCUCCUCUCCCUACAGAAAGGGUGGGAUAGGAGAGGGCUGGGAGAGAAAGGAAGAAAAAGGAAGGAAGGAAAGGAGAUCGAAAAGAGUCGUUGCAACAUUGCCUUUAAAGUGUUCAGAAGACCGUACAGAACGAACUACAGAGCAGCAGGACAGAUUCGAAAGUUAUCUCGUGGAUUUAUUACACACGUAAAGAGAAAGUCAGGUUGUACUUGAUAGCGUGUGGAGUUCUGGGUACAAUCUUUUCUCUUCUGUGUAAAUGGCAAUGUGGAGUUUUUUGGCAUUUAGUUUCAGGAUAAAAAAAUUAAAACGAAGAAAACAAUAAAAACCAAUGACCUUU